rnacentral:rRNA from 1 species
CCCUGCCAUUUGUACACACCGCCCGUCGCACCUACCGAUUGAAUGAUUCGGUGAAAAUUUCGGACUGCCAUAGGGAAGCCUUCGGGCGGCCCCGUAGCGGGAAGUUAUUUAAACCUCAUCAUUUAGAGGAAGGUGAAGUCGUAACAAGGU